rnacentral:sRNA from 1 species
UCGUCGUGCCUUUCAGGCAUCCUCUCCUAAAAACUUCAGGGCCGGCCCGACCGGCCCUUUUUUUGGUCUGCU